UUUUAUUUGAGAGUUUGAUCCUGGCUCAGGAUGAACGCUGGCGGCGUGCCUAACACAUGCAAGUUGAGCGAUUUACUUCGGUAAAGAGCGGCGGACGGGUGAGUAACGCGUGGGUAACCUACCCUGUACACACGGAUAACAUACCGAAAGGUAUGCUAAUACGGGAUAAUAUAUUUGAGAGGCAUCUCUUAAAUAUCAAAGGUGAGCCAGUACAGGAUGGACCCGCGUCUGAUUAGUUAGUUGGUAAGGUAACGGCUUACCAAGGCGACGAUCAGUAGCCGACCUGAGAGGGUGAUCGGCCACAUUGGAACUGAGACACGGUCCAAACUCCUACGGGAGGCAGCAGUGGGGAAUAUUGCACAAUGGGCGAAAGCCUGAUGCAGCAACGCCGCGUGAGUG
rnacentral:rRNA from 1 species